CUUUGGUCAUUAUGUUGUGGCAAAAACAUGAAUUUAGAUAUAUUAGAAAAAAAUUAUAACAUAAUUUAAAUUAUAUUGAACAGUUGAACGGACUUCAAUAACCAAGUGAUUUACCACCAACGUUAACAGACCGCAAAAACAGACUAACAAACAGAGUGAGAAUAAAAUGAACGGUCCUUGGUACGGAUACCUUAACUUUGUAGCGACACAUCUGCACAAACGUGUUUGCUUUCUUAUGCAUGCCAUAUUUUUUAAUAGUCAAACACACAAAUUACCUUCUACGUCCAGCUACCAACAGGAUGACUACUAGCUUGUACAGGGAAUUAACAGAGAUAAAGCCACGUCAAAAUGUCGCCGCAGGGAGGUAGUUAAUGUAAUUACAGAUGGUAGAUGAAAACUGCUGACAAAG
rnacentral:lncRNA from 1 species